rnacentral:rRNA from 1 species
UACGUAGGCAGCGAGCGUUGUUCGGAAUUACUGGGCGUAAAGAGUGUGUAGGCGGUGCUCUAAGUUCGGUGUGAAAUCUCCUGGCUCAACUGGGAGGGUGCGCCGGAAACUGGAGUGCUUGAGCGUGGGAGAGGAAAGCGGAAUUCCUGGUGGAGUGGUGAAAUGCGUAGAGAUCAGGAAGAACACCCGUGGCGAAGGCGGCCCACUGGGCCGGUGCUGACGCUGAGGCGCGAAAGCCAGGGGAGCGAACGGGG